rnacentral:rRNA from 1 species
GACGAACGCUGGCGGCGUGCUUAACACAUGCAAGUCGAACGGAAAGGCCUUUUCGGAGGUACUCGAGUGGCGCACGGGUGAGUAACACGUGGGCGAUCUGCCCUGCACUCUGGGAUAAGCCUGGGAAACUGGGUCUAAUACCGGAUAGGACCGCACUUUAGUGUGUGUGGUGGAAAGUUUUUUCGGUGUAGGAUGAGCCCGCGGCCUAUCAGCUUGUUGGUGGGGUAAUGGCCUACCAAGGCGGCGACGGGUAGCCGGACUGAGAGGUUGGUCGGCCACAUUGGGACUGAGAUACGGCCCAGACUCCUACGGGAGGCAGCAGUGGGGAAUAUUGCACAAUGGGCGCAAGCCUGAUGCAGCGACGCCGCGUGGGGGAUGACGGCCUUCGGGUUGUAAACUCCUUUCGCCAGGGACGAAGCGUUUUGUGACGGUACCUGGAGAAGAAGCACCGGCUAACUACGU